AUGGCAAUGGUAUCCGCCGUUCAGGAAGCUCGGAAAGAUAAUCUAAGAAAUUUUAGUGACUACAUGAUGACAGUUUUGGUUUGGGCUGCUGUUGAAAGACGAUAAAAUACCCAACUUUAUGCAAUUUUUGAUGCGUUAAAACGCCGUCCAGAAGUACUUGGUGACGAAUCAAGGAUUUAUAGACCCAAAGAAACCGCCACACCAUUAUCUACUUACUUUUUUCAUGAAUAUUGCCUUCCAGGUAUCUGCUGUUUUCCAUAUGAAAUUAAAGCUAACUGGACAUAUUUGCUUGGAUGAAGAUUGUAUAUGUUUAUGAAAGUCGGCUUUUGUG